GAUAUACUCCCUCCGUUCCGAAUUACUUGUCACAGGUAUGGAUGUAUCUAGAUGUAUUUUAGUUCUAGGCACAUCCAUUUCUGCGACGAGUAAUUUAGAUCGGAGGGAGUAGAUU
rfam:Triticum aestivum genome assembly, contig: Triticum_aestivum_CS42_TGACv1_scaffold_579335_7BL